GGGGCAGUGCGGCGUGCCUAUACUGCUAGUCGAGCGAAUGGAUUAAGAGCUUGCUCUUAUGAAGUUAGCGGCGGACGGGUGAGUAACACGUGGGUAACCUGCCCAUAAGACUGGGAUAACUCCGGGAAACCGGGGCUAAUACCGGAUAACAUUUUGAACCGCAUGGUUCGAAAUUGAAAGGCGGCUUCGGCUGUCACUUAUGGAUGGACCCGCGUCGCAUUAGCUAGUUGGUGAGGUAACGGCUCACCAAGGCAACGAUGCGUAGCCGACCUGAGAGGGUGAUCGGCCACACUGGGACUGAGACACGGCCCAGACUCCUACGGGAGGCAGCAGUAGGGAAUCUUCCGCAAUGGACGAAAGUCUGACGGAGCAACGCCGCGUGAGUGAUGAAGGCUUUCGG
rnacentral:rRNA from 1 species